rnacentral:lncRNA from 1 species
ACAGAGUGUGGAGCUGGACAGCGACGAUGGAGGGGGUAGUGCCGCCCAGAAGCAGAAGAUCUCCUUCCUGGAGAACAACCUGGAGCAGCUUACCAAGGUGCACAAGCAGCUGGUCCGGGACAAUGCGGAUUUGCGCUGUGAACUCCCCAAGCUGGAGAAGAGGCUCCGUGCUACUGCAGAGCGUGUCAAGGCCUUGGAGAGUGCGCUCAAAGAGGCCAAGGAGAAUGCCAUGAGGGACCGAAAGCGCUACCAGCAGGAAGUGGAUCGCAUCAAGGAGGCUGUGCGGGCCAAGAACAUGGCCAGGAGGGCACAUUCGGCUCAGAUCGCCAAGCCCAUCCGCCCAGGACACUAUCCUGCAUCAUCUCCAACAGCCGUCCAUGCCGUCCGGGGAGGAGGUGGAUCUUCAAACUCCACUCACUACCAGAAGUAAAUGCAGAAUAUGACCCCACGUAGCAUGAAAAGGACUAUAUUAGUCAUCAGUUCCUUUAUUUCCCUCCUAUACAGUUUCCGUUUCUUUUUACACUUGCUUGCCCAGCCGUCUGUAGUACACCAGAUUCAGGUGUUUGCGCUGUGUAGAAUUUGUGUGCACAGAUACGUGCUUGGAUCCUUCUCCUAAGAAGUUGGAAGGAGGUGGUUACGCAAUACCCACUUCCUGCUCAGACGUUGCCACUUCUCAGCCUCCGGGGUUGCGUGGUCUCUGGAGGCCCCUGCAGUGCACUGGCCCAUUGGAAUGGAAUGCCCUACUGUGCUAUCCCAGAGGGACAACCAAGUGCUGUGGAACCAGUGACCAUGCUCUGCCUCGACUGUCCGGUUUCCUGUAAAAUAAACACAUCACUUUAUAUUUUUAGGGAACAAAAAAAAGUGCUGCUAUAGGGUUCAAAAUUUUCAUUCUGAACACUUUUCCAAAACCAACCCCAGAGAGCAUUUUAAAUAUCCUGGUCAUAUCUUUGGAUCUGUAAAAUAGACCUUUUAGUAUGACACCUGGUAAAGUGCAAAGCAGAUUUCUUCAAGGCAGAAAGACAGUUUGACGAUAGCAGUGUAGAAUUUGCUCCUUCAGACACAUCUAGGAAAGUGUGAAGAGUCAUAGAAUUCACCUCCACAAUGCUUGCUGGUGAACCUGCAGUGACUAGUCCUGGCCGGCCCAGUUGUUUGAACACCACUCCUGUACAAGUGUUGGAAAGACUGCAGACUUGGAAGAGUGGAGAUGGGGCUGCCUCCCCUGCUCACAGCUUCCUCUGGAUCCCCUGGAACCUGCCUUGGGCUAGCCUCUUUCUCUGGCAAACAAACCAUCGCACGCUUGAGGAGAUGUUCCUAGAGAUCCAGCGUCCAUACUGUAGUUGGAAAGAAUUCCCUCGGGAGAAGUCAUUGAUGAGAUUUAUGCCUGUCUGUUUUUAUUGUAACCUGUCAUUGCAAACUGCUGAUUUAAAUUCUUUCUUUGGCACCAAAUAGGCUUCUUCUUCUUUGAGACACAGUUAGGGGGCAGAAAAAUCAGUGCGAUAGGAUUGGGUUUUUUUUGGGUUUUGGAAUUUUUUUGUAUAUUUAAUUACCGCUUUAUUCAGAUCCAUGAAUCUAGUGGAGACUUAUGUCCAGUUGGGCGUACUGAAAGGAUCAAUUGCCAAGUAGUAGAGUCUCGAGAGACACUAAGGAAGUCCAUACUAUGAGCUGCUAUUUGUUUCCAUCAAUUGUGGUUUAGCUAGUAACAUCCAUCCAUCUCAGAAAUCACCCACAUCGUCAUCAGGUGUGCCCCAGAAGUGUGCGCUCACACUGUCUUCUGAAACUGCUACCCCUAGUGUAAGGGGAGACUCUAGGCUUUCCCAUGGCUGUGAGGGUGGGGGUAGAAAAAGUUAAUGUACUUAAUGUGUGUGCUUCUGCACUCUCGUGUGUAAAAUGUUGAGGGUUAUGUUUAUUACCUUCCUGAUUCUUCUGUAUAGAUUUUUCCUAACCCUGAUUUGACUUAAUUUAUUUGUUAGAUGUUGCCCUUUAUAACGGGGUUUUGUUUUUAACUAGGCAUGAAAAGAAGAUAACUUCUAUUGAAGUAUUUAUUUUACAAAGAUGAUUUUGCGUUUGUUUAGCCUGUGUUUGCCUUGUUUCAUGUUGUCACCACUGUCUGCUCAACAUAACUGGCUGGCUGCUAUCUGGAGCCUGAUGGAAAGGUCCUUUGCAGGGCAGUAAGUUUGCAAGCCUCAUCAGGACUGAGCGAUGCCAGAUUAGCAGCUUACGGCCUAUGGUGGCCUCCUGCUUGGAAGCUGAAAUGUUGGCCUUAAGAGGACCACCAAGGGAAUGCUCCUUGUCUCGAGGACCCGCUGUUGUCUUUUAGACAACUGUGCUACUUUGUGUUUGGAAGUUGGGUACAGGUCAGGAAUGUGGUAGUCUUGGCUUUCAUUAGUAGCCAUUAUAAGAUGGAUUAUUUUAGAUUCUUCUAAAGCAAAUUUCCCCCUAGGUUCUCACUUUCUACUUCUGAAGAAUUUGUGGGCACUUUCAAGUUUUAAAAGGCAGCAUUCAUUUGUAGUUCACAUUACUUGAUCUCUACAAGGGCCUUACCAAAUUCACUGUCCUUUUAUUCACAGAGAAGGUUGGCUUUGAUGUCUUGUAGAGAUAAUUCUGCUAGUUGCUGAUCAGCCAGUCAGUUCAUCUAGCGCCCUUCUUUAUAAGACCUCUAAUCUAAUUUUCUCACACUGUGACUAAAAGCUAGGCACACCAUUGGAACAGAUUAUGUGGUUUAUUUAAGCAAUACCUUAAUCUCGCUUUGACUAUUAAUUCCUUUAUCAGAGCAGUGUGCUCUCAGGCCACUUUUUAAAAAGACCAUGUUUAUAAAGUUUUCAUUGUUGACAGACUAUUACAUCUUGCACUCUAACUGUAAAAAUCCCACUUCUGAACAGCCAAGUGGAUGGUUCCAUUCCGGUCACACGCUGCGCAUUGCCGGAAUGUAUGCCAGUGUGUACUCGCCUCUGAAUAAUUUGCUAUCUCAUGCCUACUUCUUGAACGUUUACUCUGAGGUGCUGUAGGAGAGCAGCCUGAUGGUGUAGACAAAUAACCUCUGCCUGGCAGCCGGUGAGGUACUGAUUACUGAAGAUAGCAGUUAUGUUUGGGGGUUAUAACACCGACUGCAUUUGAUCAGUCCUUAGAGAACGUUUUAUGGAGGUCUCAUCUCUGCACAGUGAUGAGCAGCUUGCUUCAGUGGAUGGCAGGCAGAACAGCAAGAGGUGUUAAGCCUUUUAGAAGAUAGAGAAUCGCAUGGUGAAGAAUUCGUAGAAAUGUUGGAAUAAAUGAAGGGCUAAAAAUGUUUGUCUAGAAUGUAGAUCCAGUGACACCUUGAAGUCUUCAAGUCUAUAUAGAGACAUGAUAUUUAGUCUCAGUACUCACCAAGGCUUCAGGAGAGCUGGGGGGAUGGGGUUCUUGUCAGCCUCACCUUCCUAGAAGGACAGCUAAAGGAACAUAAAGCUUCACUUACUCCCUUCCUUCGUAGGACAGGCUCCAUUAGGACUCUAGGUAGAAGACGUUGGGGAAGUUUGUCAUUAGCAGAAGUUUGUCACUGGACAGAGUUCACUUCAUUGUCCCAUUCUGACUACCUUGGGCAAGCUAAAGAACCGUCAUUGUUUAAAACUGCUUCCUAACCUGAUUUUGAAUUUUUAAACAACUAUUGAGUGAGGACCAGAUAACUGCCAAAGGAAACACUGGUCUGUGAAGUCUGCUUAUUUACUGAGAAUUGUGUAUCAAUUUUAAACACUUCCCGUGUGUGCAGAUAAAAGGGGACUAGGGCUUUCUGUAGAAUUCUGUCUGUCUAGUUUGUAAAGUGUCAUGUGUACUGCAGAUGUGCGUUUCUGGGCUUUUACUUCUGUACAGUAGAUUUCAUUAAGAAAAAUUGUGGACAAACUUGUUUCUGUGGUUUGAUGGGGAGAACGGCAGUAUGUAUUUAAAUAGCUAUCCUGUGAGAUAGAAAUGCCCCCCAAAAUCUGGAAAUAACCCCCCCUGGCCCUUGAAACACUUUGGUUAUCUCCUAGGUUCUAAAAUGAAGAUGUACGGAUACUCUGGCAGACUGCAUGUUGUAUAAUUUGAAAAUAUUCAAAACUGGACAAUAAAACUGAGUUAAACUUUG